rnacentral:rRNA from 1 species
UACGGAGGGGGCUAGCGUUGUUCGGAAUUACUGGGCGUAAAGCGCACGUAGGCGGCUUUGUAAGUUAGAGGUGAAAGCCCAGGGCUCAACCCUGGAAUUGCCUUUAAGACUGCAUCGCUUGAACAUCGGAGAGGUAAGUGGAAUUCCGAGUGUAGAGGUGAAAAUUCGUAGAUAUUCGCAAGAACACCAGUGGCGAAGGCGGCUCACUGGCCCGGUACUGACGCUGAGGUGCGAAAGCGUGGGGAGCAAACAGG